rnacentral:rRNA from 1 species
UCCUACGGGAGGCAGCAGUGAGGAAUAUUGGUCAAUGGGCGAGAGCCUGAACCAGCCAAGUAGCGUGCAGGAUGACGGCCCUAUGGGUUGUAAACUGCUUUUAUAAGGGAAUAAAGUGAGUCUCGUGAGGCUUUUUGCAUGUACCUUAUGAAUAAAGGACCGGCUAAUUCCGUGC